UUCAGAGAUCUGCUGUGCACACCCAUUUCUUUUUCAAUCCCUCCUAAGGACCAUGAGAAGCAGCAGCACCAAAACCAAAGUAUGAACCGAAUUCAAGGUUCUUUUUGUUCCAGUUGCCACAUUCCAAACUAGAUGUCCACAUGACAACCCUGUUUAAAACUUCUUCAAUUUUUAAAAGCAAAAGCAAUUACAGGAAAACAAUUCAUUCAGAGGGAUUGUGUGUGCUUACAAGUAUCUUCUGUGGCCUUUCUCCAAGUUUAACCACCAACAACUUUGAGAGCUGGCAGGUCUGAGUACCCCUGUUCUUUUCACUUUAUCAAAACCUGAGCUAAAAAACCGCAUCAGCUGAUGAUGACAGCAGAGGGUGGCAGGUCUGAGGACCCAAUAUUCCUUCCCAGGCUGGUGGAGGUUCCAAAACUAAAUAGGGAACUAAAUGUGGUUCCAAAACUAAACGAGGGAAGUCAGAGACUCUUUCCAACCUUACCUGAUGGUUUCUGGCCAAAGCAAGGAAGUAUUGUGGAAAAUGUUGGGUGGUGACACUGGAAGAGCACACGUCUGACUCCAGCUCAGGUCACGAUCU